rnacentral:hammerhead_ribozyme from 1 species
AUCCAACCAACGAGUUCAAAAUAGGAUGGAACACGCGUCCUGGAU